GAUCAUGGCUCAGGAUGAACGCUAGCUACAGGCUUAACACAUGCAAGUCGAGGGCAGCAUGGUCUUUAGCUUGCUAAGGCCGAUGGCGACCGGCGCACGGGUGAGUAACACGUAUCCAACCUGGCCGUCUACUCUUGGACAGCCUUCUGAAAGGAAGAUUAAUACAAGAUGGCAUCAUGAGUUCACAUGUUCACAUGAUUAAAGGUAUUCCGGUAGACGAUGGGG
rnacentral:rRNA from 1 species